GACGAACGCUGGCGGCGUGCUUAACACAUGCAAGUCGAGCGGAAAGGCCACUUCGGUGGUACUCGAGCGGCGAACGGGUGAGUAACACGUGAGUAAUCUGCCCUUGGCUUUGGGAUAGCCACCGGAAACGGUGAUUAAUACCGGAUACGACCACUUCUCGCAUGGGAUGGUGGUGGAAAGUUUUUCGGCCAGGGAUGUGCUCGCGGCCUAUCAGCUUGAUGGUGAGGUAAGGGCUCACCAUGGCUUCGACGGGUAGCCGGCCUGAGAGGGUGACCGGUCACACUGGGACUGAGACACGGCCCAGACUCCUACGGGAGGCAGCAGUGGGGAAUAUUGGACAAUGGGCGGAAGCCUGAUCCAGCAACGCCGCGUGAGGGAUGACGGCCUUCGGGUUGUAAACCUCUUUCGGUGGGGACGAAGCGCAAGUGACGGUACCCACUAAAGAAGCACCGGCCAACUACGUGCCAGCCGCCGCGGUAAUAC
rnacentral:rRNA from 1 species